rnacentral:tRNA from 1 species
GCAGUCGUGGCCGAGUCGUUAAGGCGAUGGACUAGAAAUCCAAUGGGGUCUCCCCGCACAGGUUCGAAUCCUGUCGACAUUGCA